rnacentral:misc_RNA from 1 species
AACAAUUCAGUCGCUUUAUGAACCAGUACUUUUUGUUGAUUGCUUGCCUUCAACUAUGGUCACUCAUCACUCCAGUAAAUCCUGCUAGUACAUGGGGCCCUCUCAUCUUUAUAUUUGCAGUCUCAGCAACAAAGGAGGCAUGGGAUGAUUACAACAGAUACCUUUCAGACAAGAAAGCUAAUGAGAAAGAAGUUUGGGUGG